ensembl:lncRNA
GUCCUUAAAAACCUUUCACUGAAAGCUAUCAGGGAGCUCAGGUGUAUUGAACACUAGCUUGGUAUACUGCAAUAAAUGCUGCCUUUUCCUUCCCUACAACCAGGUGUCUUUACUGCGUGAGGGUAAAAACUCUUGAGAGUCACUUGGACUGCAAGGAGAUCAAACCAGUCAAUCCUAAAGGAAAUCAGUCCUGACUGAUUGGAAGGACUGAUGCUGAAGCUGAAACUCCAAUCCUUAGGCCACCUGAUGCAAAGAACUGACACAUUGGAAAGACGCUGAUGCUGGGAAAGAUUGAAGGCAGGAGGAGAAGGGGACGACAGAGGAUGAGAUGGUUGGAUGGCAUCACCAACUCGAUGGACAUGAGUUUGAGCAAGCUCUGGGAGUUGGUGAUGGACAGGGAAGCCUGGCAUGUUGCAGUCCAUGGGGUCGCAAAGAGUCAGACACAACUGAGCAACUGAACCGAACUGAAAGACGGUGUUUAAGGGAGUGGCUUAGGCACUUUUGGGGAGCUUUACUCAUUUCUGUCUGAAGUACAUAUGUCAAACUUCUGUGUGUUUCUCUCUUGCCAGUCUAUUUUUAUUACAGGGGGUCUCAGCCAGUAACUUGGAAGGGAGGAGGGCAAAUUCAUCUCCCUCCCCACCCGCCAUCACAUGCUCAUCCCUGAGGGCAGCCAUAUCCCCUGUUUUAAAGGCUCCAGUAAGCUGACUGCCUUGGGCUCCAAGCCCAGCUUCACUGACUUCUGGCCUUGGCACACCCACCUCUCUGGCCUCAAUUUGUCACCCUUGAAAUGAAGACACUGAUUCCACUUUAUCAGGUCUUACAAGGAUUAUGUCUUACCUGCUGGAUUGAGCCCCCGCCCCCCAAGAAAAGAGUUCCCUUACCAAGUUUGUGAUUAAUUCAUCUGUCCCAAACUUUAUUCCCUUUCUUGUCCCGUGUGACCUCAAUCCUGUGCUAACUGAACACUAAUCAACCAGUCAGAUGAUUACAACUGCUGAUGUCGAUAACAGUAUUAAUGUACCAAAAUGAUCUUUGGAGAUAAUAUUGCUAAUGUACAAACUCAGGUUGUUU